rnacentral:rRNA from 1 species
CAACUCGCCUGCAUGAAGUUGGAAUUGCUAGUAAUCGCGAAUCAGAAUGUCGCGGUGAAUACGUUCCCGGGCCUUGUACACACCGCCCGUCACACCAUGAGAGUCGAUAACACCCGAAGCCUGUGAGCUAACCGUAAGGAGGCAGCAGUCGAAGGUGGGGUUGAUGAUUGGGGUGAAGUCGUAACAAGGUACC